GUGGGGAAUAUUGGACAAUGGGCGAAAGCCUGAUCCAGCCAUGCCGCGUGUGUGAAGAAGGUCUUCGGAUUGUAAAGCACUUUAAGUUGGGAGGAAGGGCAGUAAGUUAAUACCUUGCUGUUUUGACGUUACCGACAGAAUAAGCACCGGCUAACUUCGUGCCAGCAGCCGCGGUAAUACGAAGGGUGCAAGCGUUAAUCGGAAUUACUGGGCGUAAAGCGCGCGUAGGUGGUUUUGUAAGUUGGAGGUGAAAUCCCCGGGCUCAACCUGGGAACUGCCUCCAAAACUGCAUGACUAGAGUACGGUAGAGGGUAGUGGAAUUUCCUGUGUAGCGGUGAAAUGCGUAGAUAUAGGAAGGAACACCAGUGGCGAAGGCGACUACCUUGACUGAUACUGACACUGAGGUGCGAAAGCGUGGGGAGCAAACAGGAUUAGAAACCCGUGUAGUCC
rnacentral:rRNA from 1 species